rnacentral:rRNA from 1 species
UACGAAGGGGGCUAGCGUUGCUCGGAAUUACUGGGCGUAAAGCGUGCGUAGACGGUCACGUAAGUCGGGUGUGAAAGCCCCGGGCUCAACCUGGGAAUUGCAUUCGAGACUGCAUGGCUAGGGUGCGGAAGAGGGAAGCGGAAUUUCCGGUGUAGCGGUGAAAUGCGUAGAUAUCGGAAGGAACACCAGUGGCGAAAGCGGCUUCCUGGUCCAGCACCGACGUUCAGGCACGAAAGCGUGGGGAGCAAACAGG